rnacentral:rRNA from 1 species
AACGAACGCUGGCGGCAGGCUUAACACAUGCAAGUCGAGCGAGACCUUCGGGUCUAGCGGCGGACGGGUGAGUAACGCGUGGGAACGUGCCCUUCUCUACGGAAUAGCCCCGGGAAACUGGGAGUAAUACCGUAUACGCCCUUUGGGGGAAAGAUUUAUCGGAGAAGGAUCGGCCCGCGUUGGAUUAGGUAGUUGGUGGGGUAAUGGACCCCCAAGCCGACGAUCCAUAGCUGGUUUGAGAGGAUGAUCAGCCACACUGGGAUUGAGACACGGCCCAGACUCCUACGGGAGGCAGCAGUGGGGAAUCUUAGACAAUGGGGGCAACCCUGAUCUAGCCAUGCCGCGUGAGUGAUGAAGGCCUUAGGGUUGUAAAGCUCUUUCAGCUGGGAAGAUAAUGACGGUACCAGCAGAAGAAGCCCCGGCUAACUCCGUG